AAUCAACGCUGGCGGCGUGCCUCAGACAUGCAAGUCGAACGCGAAAGUCCCCUUCGGGGGACGAAGUAGAGUGGCGCACGGGUGAGUAACACGUAGGUAAUCUACCUUUGGAUGGGGAAGUAACAAUCGGAAACGAUUGCUAAUACCGCAUAAUGCAGCGGCACCUAAUGGUGACAGUUGUUAAAGCGGGGGAUCGAAAGACCUCGCGUCUAAAGAGGAGCCUGCGGCGGAUUAGCUAGNGGUAAGGUAAUGGCUUACCAAGGCUACGAUCCGUAACCGGCCUGAGAGGGCGGGUCGGUCACACUGACGCUGACAUACGGGUCAGACUCCUACGGGAGGCAGCAGUCGGGAA
rnacentral:rRNA from 1 species